AUCGAUACUAAACAAUAUUUGUUUCUUUUUAAAAGAUGGUAGAGCUGUGUAUUGAUAGACAUUUGGCCACUCUUUUCGUAGUCGAGAGGUUCCAUUAUUGUAUCGGUAGAUUCAAAGAUGUGGUAAUUCAGAAAUAAUAGCUAUUUAAAAACGCGUACAACAUAUCUCCUGAUUUUUCUGGUAGCAGUAAUAUCCAGAAGCCGUGAAUAUUCUUGUCACAAUGGUUACUGCCAGAAAAUGAUAAAGGUAAAAAAAAAAAAAAAAGAUGCUGAGCGCGAAACAGAUUUGGACGUGAAUAACACUUGUAAGACAUUCUAUUUAGAAGAGAUUUCACUACGAAUACACCGUCUGAUACCUUGAACGCCUUUGAUGGAGCCGUUUUAUACUCAAGGAGUUCCACAUCUCCAAAUGGCUCCAUCUAUGCUCCUGUCUGUGGUUCACCAUGGUACCAGUCACCUUCAACUGAAUAUUUCCAUCUCUGCAAUUUUCAGAACACCUUGAAGUUGAUUUAGAACCUGAGAAUUUGAAACAUUUUCUGGCCCUUUUCUUCAUUUUUUUUUUGUUUUUGGUUUUCCACAAUGGAUCCUCUAAGGUGGCAUGUUUUGACCCCCACCAGCUUUGUCAACUUCUCUCUAACUUGUCAUUUCAGUUUAUUCAUUUUGUUUAAUCUUUUGUAAUUGUUACAUCACAUUCUGAGGGAGCUACAUUUUCAGUUAUUCAUAUUAUUCCACAGUAUCAUAAAGUUAUUAGAAACGUUAUGAAGCAUUAAUUAACUAAUAACAUCGAUGAUAACAAUGAAAAUAAUCAUUACAACACAUACAAAAGUGGCAAAAUACACCGGGAUAGGCAGUUUUAAAAGUAGGGUUUUUUAAAAUACUUGUUAAUUGCAAUAAUUAGAAUGAUAAACUAAUUUAGUAAUUA